rnacentral:rRNA from 1 species
UACGGAGGGAGCAAGCGUUACUCGGAAUUAUUGGGCGUAAAGGGCGCGUAGGCGAUUUGAAAAGUCUUGUGUGAAAGCCCCGAGCUUAACUCGGGAAGUGCACAAGAAACUGUUGAAUUUGAGUUCCGGAGAGGAAGGCAGAAUUCCCGGUGUAGCGGUGAAAUGCGUAGAUAUCGGGAGGAAUACCAGUGGCGAAGGCGGCCUUCUGGACGGAUACUGACGCUGAGGUGCGAAAGCGUGGGGAGCAAACAGG